rnacentral:rRNA from 1 species
ACGCUCGACACCUACGGGGGGCAGCAGUGGGGAAUAUUGCACAAUGGGGGAAACCCUGAUGCAGCGACGCCGCGUGAAGGAAGAAGUAUCUCGGUAUGUAAACUUCUAUCAGCAGGGAAGAAAGUGACGGUACCUGACUAAGAAGCCCCGGCUAACUACGUGCCAACAGCCGCGGUAAUCUGAGCGGGCUGGCAAGGC